rnacentral:rRNA from 1 species
UACGGGGGGAGCAAGCGUUGUUCGGAUUUACUGGGCGUAAAGGGCGCGUAGGCGGCCUCUGCAAGUCGACUGUGAAAUCUCCGGGCUUAACCCGGAAAGGUCAGCCGAUACUGCAGGGCUAGAGUGCAGAAGGGGCAACUGGAAUUCUCGGUGUAGCGGUGAAAUGCGUAGAUAUCGAGAGGAACACCUGCGGCGAAGGCGGCAUCCUGGACCGGUAUUGACGCUGAGGCGCGAAAGCCAGGGAGCAAACGGG